rnacentral:rRNA from 1 species
AGUUAGGAAUAUUGGACAAUGGGGGAAACCCUGAUCCAGCCAUGCCGCGUGAGUGACGAAGGCCUUAGGGUUGUAAAGCUCUUUCGGCUGUGAAGAUAAUGACAGUAGCAGAAGAAGAAGCCCCGGCUAAAUUCGUGCCAGCAGCCGCGGUAAUACGAAUGGGGCGAGCGUUGUUCGGAAUCACUGGGCGUAAAGCGUACGCAGGCGGUCAUGAAAGUUAGGAGUGAAAUCCCCGGGCUUAACCCGGGAAUUGCUUUUAAAACUCCAUGGCUAGAGUAUUGGAGAGGUUAGCGGAAUUCCGAGUGUAGCAGUGAAAUGCGUAGAUAUUCGGAGGAACACCAAUGGCGAAGGCAGCUAACUGGACAAUUACUGACGCUCAUGUACGAAAGCGUGGGGAUCAAA